rnacentral:rRNA from 1 species
GUGAGACAGGUGCUGCAUGGCUGUCGUCAGCUCGUGUUGUGAAAUGUUGGGUUAAGUCCCGCAACGAGCGCAACCCUUAUCCUUUGUUGCCAGCGGUCCGGCCGGGAACUCAAAGGAGACUGCCAGUGAUAAACUGGAGGAAGGUGGGGAUGACGUCAAGUCAUCAUGGCCCUUACGACCAGGGCUACACACGUGCUACAAUGGCGCAUACAAAGAGAAGCGACCUCGCGAGAGCAAGCGGACCUCAUAAAGUGCGUCGUAGUCCGGAUUGGAGUCUGCAACUCGACUCCAUGAAGUCGGAAUCGCUAGUAAUCGUGGAUCAGAAUGCCACGGUGAAUACGUUCCCGGGCCUUGUACACACCGCCCGUCACACCAUGGAAGUGGGUUGCAAAAGAAGUAGGUAGCUUAACCUUCGGGAGGGCGCUUACCACUUUGUGAUUCAUGACUGGGGUGAAGUCGUAACAAGGUAACCGUAGGGGAA